rnacentral:rRNA from 1 species
UACGUAGGUGGCAAGCGUUGUCCGGAUUUACUGGGCGUAAAGGAUGCGUAGGCGGACAUUUAAGUCAGAUGUGAAAUACCCGAGCUUAACUUGGGUGCUGCAUUUGAAACUGGGUGUCUAGAGUGCAGGAGAGGUAAGUAGAAUUCCUAGUGUAGCGGUGAAAUGCGUAGAGAUUAGGAAGAACACCAGUGGCGAAGGCGACUUACUGGACUGUAACUGACGCUGAGGCAUGAAAGCGUGGGGGAGCAAACAGG